GUCAAGCCAUGAAAGCCGGGGGCGCCUGAAGUCCGUGACCGCGAGGGUCGGCCUAGGGUGAAACCGGUGAUUGGGCUAAGUCGUAACAAGGUAUC
rnacentral:rRNA from 1 species